CUCCCAUUUUGGAGAUUAGUUCUUCUCUCGUUAAUUCUACCCUGCAAAAUGUGCAAGCUAAAACUGCCUCACAAACCUUCUUCAUCAUUAAUCCUCAGAUGAAUUUCAGCAUUUGAAAAUGCAAUGUCUUUAUCAUCAGCCUUUCUUAGUCUGUCACUUGGAGGAUGUUCUAUCCUGUCCUACUGUCCAUAAGACCAAGCAGCUCGGAGGACUCCCAUGAAUCAGUGAAAAGCACCUUGCACCAUUCUGGGCAAGCAGUGGGACUCAGCUUCUGUGGAUUUUGAAUUGUUGCAUGAAAUCAGUCAGUAUUUCGGAGCAUCGGUGAUCAGAGGUGUCUCCUACAUAUUUGUUUGUAUUCCUAUAAGCAUCCAACACAAUGGCCAGUAGGUAGUUAAUGCUGAUUAAAUGUUUACUGAGAGAAGAGACGAAUGCAGGUAUUUAUGUAUAUUUGGGUUUGGGUCAUUGUUUUCUUCUCUUUUUUUCCUUUCUACACAUAGGAUAAAGAGUCUGUAAUACACGACUAGAAUAAUUUGAUACUUAAAAAAACAAUGGUUGAAAACAAUGACACAUUAAACUAUCUACUGUGCAAACCUUCACCACCAAAGCCACCUCUGGCCACAGUGCAGGACUGUUAGAAGUUGAGGGGACCUUUAAUUUCUGCCAGAAGCCCCAAGUGGUUGACAAUUAUAUCAUUUCUCUAUCUCUUAAUCUUAACUGAUUUGCCUGUUUGUGGACAAAAGAAAAACAAGCCAUGUUACAGUUUGUUCAGAAACCAAGAAGAUGGAAGCCUUUUAAUUCUGUCUUCAUUGGUGAAGCUAUUUACUUUGCUGUGUUUUGUGCUUUGAAAAAGUUUGAAUAAAGAUACAAAAUACAGAGCAGAGAGGCAGAAUGAUAUUGCAAAUAAGAGCUGGAAAACUUAGGCUCGAAGGUGGCUCUGCUGUGUGACCUUGGAUGAAUUAAUUAACUUAUCUGUGUCCCAAGUUCCUCGUUUGAAAACAGGGGUGUAAUAAUAGUGCCUAACUGCAAGAUGUUGUGAUGAUUGAAGGAAUUUAGAUAAAGUGUUUAGACAGUGCUUGGUACAUAAUAAAUGUAUAUAAGUAUCAGCCAUUUUGGUAUAUGACUUUACAGAAAGCAUAGAUGCUGAACAGAAUAAUCCACUUACUGAGAACCACAACAAUUUCAGGAAUAUGAGCAUAUCAUUCCAAAAAAUAUAAUAGGAGAGAUACAUUCCAACAAAACAGGUAAAAGAAAGAAAACACUUUACAAAUAUGUAGUUAUUGAAUUCAGUAUUCUAAAACCAGAGAUAUUGGUGGUAUGUCGAAUAGGAGAAAAAAGGGUCCAGGAAGAGUUGGAAUAAACAGGGAGUCAGAAAAGUGAUUUUCAACCUUUGUCCAUGUUACAAUCAUUUGGGGGAGCCUGUUAGCUCAUACCGGGGACUCUGUAUUUUUGAGAGAUGCCCUAGGUGAUUCUGAUGCAAAAUGAAGAUAGAAAAGAG
rnacentral:lncRNA from 1 species